CAGUUUUAGAGGAAACUGCUCUGGAAAACUCGGCCGGAAGUGUCAUGUGAAUCCAUAACAUCACCACAAACGUCUUUUCAAGCCAGGCAACCUCAGCGUGAAGAGAUCCAGAAGGCAGCAGCCACACUGCAGGAAAAAUGCCCCCAUGUGACCAUCAAUGAGGAUGCAUUGUUUGACGAGGUUACUGGCCUGCAAGAGUUCCUAAAGGGGGGAUCGCUUGAAUAAUGGAAAACAUCGGAGACACCGCUUAGUCAGAGAUGGAGUUACCCACUUCAAAGAGAACCACAUCCCACACUCUAACCUGGCUAGAUUAGCGUCUGUUGUCAUGUGCUUACCUGGAAGUAAUACACCAGUCGAGAGAGUGUUCUCCCAAAUGAAUGCUCUAUGGACAGCAGCAAGAAAUAGGUUCCCUGUUCCUACCAUCAAGGCCAUGCUUAUUGUGAAGACAAACGCCAACCUCCCCUGCCAGGAGUUCAUGGAGAAGCUGGCCAAAGACAGAGCAAUCCUGAAGAAGAUACAUUCUUCUGAGAAAUAUACAGAUUAGGUUGGAAUAAGUGUUUCCCUGGCACCCAAAAGUACUUGUUUCAUUUCAAAUGCUAAGCCGGACAGGAAAAUGGUCCAUAUCACACACUUAUCAAGAGAACAUCCCUGGUCAUCCCUACUGCCUCUGAUCUGGAGGACUCACUAACCAGAGAACAUCCCUGGUCAUCCCUACUGCCUCUGAUCUGGAGGACUCACUAAACAGAGAACAUCCCUGAUCAUCCCUACUGCCUCUGAUCUGGAGGACUCACUAAACAGAGAACAUCCCUGGUCAUCCCUACUGCCUCUGAUCUGGAGGACUCACUAAACACAUGCUUUGUUUGUAAAUUAUGUCUGAGUGUUCCCAUGGCUAUUUCUUAAAUAAAAAAACUAACAAAC